rnacentral:rRNA from 1 species
AUCUACAGCCAUACCACCCUGAACACGCCUGAUCGCAUCUGAUGUCGGAAAAAUAAAUCAUUAGCUGGGUGGGGGGGAUGGUGCAUACCUGUAGUCC